UCCUACGGGGCGCAGCAGUGGGGAAUAUUGCACAAUGGGGGAAACCCUGAUGCAGCGACGCCGCGUGAGUGAAGAAGUAUUUCGGUAUGUAAAGCUCUAUCAGCAGGGAAGAAAAUGACGGUACCUGACUAAGAAGCCCCGGCUAACUACGUGCCAGCAGCCGCGGUAAUACGUAGGGGGCAAGCGUUAUCCGGAUUUACUGGGUGUAAAGGGAGCGUAGACGGUAGAGCAAGUCAGAUGUGAAAACUCAGGGCUCAACCCUGAGCCUGCAUUUGAAACUGUGUUUCUUGAGUGCUGGAGAGGCA
rnacentral:rRNA from 1 species